GACGGAGGAUGCAAGCGUUAUCCGGAAUUAUUGGGCGUAAAGCGUCCGCAGGUGGCACUUCAAGUCUGUCGUCAAAGACUGGGGCUUAACCCUGGAAAGGCGGUGGAAACUGAAGCGCUAGAGUGCGGUAGGGGUAGAGGGAAUUCCCGGUGUAGCGGUGAAAUGCGUAGAGAUCGGGAAGAACAUCGGUGGCGAAAGCGCUCUACUGGACCUGAACUGACACUGAGGGACGAAAGCUAGGGGAGCGAAAGGG
rnacentral:rRNA from 1 species